AGUGAACGCUGGCGGUAGGCCUAACACAUGCAAGUCGAACGGCAGCACAGUAAGAGCUUGCUCUUACGGGUGGCGAGUGGCGGACGGGUGAGGAAUACACCGGAAUCUACUUUUUCGUGGGGGAUAACGUAGGGAAACUUACGCUAAUACCGCAUACGACCUACGGGUGAAAGCAGGGGAUCUUCGGACCUUGCGCGAUUGAAUGAGCCGAUGUCGGAUUAGCUAGUUGGCGGGGUAAAGGCCCACCAAGGCGACGAUCCGUAGCUGGUCUGAGAGGAUGAUCAGCCACACUGGAACUGAGACACGGUCCAGACUCCUACGGGAGGCAGCAGUGGGGAAUAUUGGACAAAGGGCGCAAGCCUGAUCCAGCCAUACCGCGUGGGUGAAGAAGGCCUUCGGGUUGUAAAGCCCUUUUGUUGGGAAAGAAAAGCAGCAGGUUAAUACCCCGCUGUUCUGACGGUACCCAAAGAAUAAGCACCGGCUAACUUCGUG
rnacentral:rRNA from 1 species